UCCCAUAUGGUCAAGCAGUUACGAUUCCUGGUUUUCACCCAGGUGGCCUGUUUUCGACUCCCGGUAUGGGAA
rfam:Salmo salar isolate Sally breed double haploid chromosome ssa12, whole genome shotgun sequence.